GUGCUCACUUCAGCAGCAUAUAUAUGAAAAUUGGAAUAAUACAGAGAAGAUUAGCAUGGCCCUGCAAAAGUAUGACAUGCAACUUUGUGUGGUGUUCCAUAUUUUU
ensembl:snRNA U6 U6 spliceosomal RNA